rnacentral:rRNA from 1 species
UACGUAGGGGGCAAGCGUUGUCCGGAAUCAUUGGGCGUAAAGCGCGUGUAGGCGGCCAGGUAGGUCUGCUGUGAAAACUCGAGGCUCAACCUCGAGAUGUCGGCGGAAACCCUCUGGCUAGAGUCCGGAAGAGGAGAGUGGAAUUCCCGGUGUAGCGGUGAAAUGCGCAGAUAUCGGGAAGAACACCCGUGGCGAAGGCGGCUCUCUGGGACGGUACUGACGCUGAGACGCGAAAGCGUGGGGAGCGAACAGG